UGCAUUCAAUGCUGCUAGUUUUCGUUCUUUGAUUUGAUUUUCUGAAUCCUGCUUUUGAAAUGCUCAAUUUUGGGUUGGAGAUGGAAUUACAUGAUAUCUCAAUACUUAAUUCUAUUAUACAUUAUGGAUUUAUAAUUAGUUUAAAAUCCAGAAAUUUAGGGAUUAAACUCUAUUCAUUUACAGUGCAUAUUUGAUAUGAGACUCUUUUCUUAUGACAAGUUGGUAGAUUAUAUAUUGAGUGUUAAAGAAGCAAAAUGAGUUCAGUGCUUGAUAUUGGGCUUUUAGAGGAGAUUGUGCAUAUUACAAUUGACUGGUUUGAUGUAACCCAGAAAAAAUGGAAAAAUUUGAUUGGUUUGUUUUUGAGAGUUAAAUGCCAGCAAAGGUUUGGCAUCCACUGAGUCAUGUCCUUGGGCGAUUGCUGUGUGGUUGAUAUCUUGUCUCUGUUUGUGUGCGCUGUGUUAAGGAGUUUUUGACAAGCCUUCUUUUCAUGUUCUUUCACGACAGGCUUCCUUUCUGGCCUUAUGUCAAGGGGGUAGUGACCGUCUUGUUAGUGGUACCUUAUUUUGGUGGUGCUUCUUAUGUUUACAAGUGUUUUGUGAGAACUCAUUCAUUUAAAGUUUCACACAUAUUCUGUUUGAUAUGGAACAUCUUGUUCUUCUCAAUGAGGAAAAGUUUCUCAUUCAGUGGGCAGAACAACUUUGUUGAUGAGAUAGGUAAAAACAUAAUUGUCGAUGGACAAGAAGAACUGCAGAAAUCUAUUGUUUUCCAGGUAUGCCUGUAAGCUAAUUUUUAUAUUUGGUUGAAUACUAUCUAAUGUAUGAAUCUAUGAUAUAUGGAGGCCAGAUACAUUGAAGAGUGCCAUGCAUCCCAGCAUAUUAUUAACUAUGAAAGUCCUUUCUAGUUGCCAAG
rnacentral:misc_RNA from 1 species